AUUGAACGCUGGCGGCAUGCUUUACACAUGCCAGUCGAACGGCAGCGCGGGCUUCGGCCUGGCGGCGAGUGGCGAACGGGUGAGUAAUGCAUCGGAACGUGCCCAGUAGUGGGGGAUAGCCCGGCGAAAGCCGGAUUAAUACCGCAUACGACCUGAGGGUGAAAGCGGGGGACCGAAAGGCCUCGCGCUAUUGGAGCGGCCGAUGUCGGAUUAGCUAGUUGGUGGGGUAAAGGCUUACCAAGGCGACGAUCCGUAGCUGGUCUGAGAGGACGACCAGCCACACUGGGACUGAGACACGGCCCAGACUCCUACGGGAGGCAGCAGUGGGGAAUUUUGGACAAUGGGGGCAACCCUGAUCCAGCCAUGCCACGUGCGGGAAGAAGGCCUUCGGGUUGUAAACCGCUUUUGUUCGGGAAGAAAUCCUCUGGGCUAAUACCCCGGGGGGAUGACGGUACCGGAAGAAUAAGCACCGGCUAACUACGUG
rnacentral:rRNA from 1 species